rnacentral:rRNA from 1 species
GUGUGCGAUCAUACCAGCACUAAUGCACCGGAUCCCAUCAGAACUCCGCAGUUAAGCGUGCUUGGGCGAGAGUAGUACUAGGAUGGAUGAUCUCCUGGGAAGUCCUCGUGUUGCACGCC